AUUGAACGCUGGCGGCAGGCCUAACACAUGCAAGUCGAGCGAGCGGCGGACGGGUGAGUAAUGUAUGGGGAUCUGCCCGCUAGAGGGGGAUAACUACUGGAAAGGUGGCUAAUACCGCAUACUAUCGGAUGAACCCAUAUGGGAUUAGCUAGUAGGUGGGGUAAAGGCUCACCUAGGCGACGAUCUCUAGCUGGUCUGAGAGGACGACCAGCCACACUGUGACUGAGACACGGCCCAGACUCCUACGGGAGGCAGCAGUGGGGAAUUUUGGACAAUGGGGGAAACCCUGAUCCAGCCAUCCCGCGUGUGCGAUGAAGGCCUUCGGGUUGUAAAGCACUUUUGGCAGGAAAGCGGUACCUGCAGAAUAAGCACCGGCUAACUACGUGCCAGCCGCCGCGGUAAUUC
rnacentral:rRNA from 1 species